rnacentral:lncRNA from 1 species
AGGAACCCCCCUGCCACGAACCCUUCAGUCGACAUCAAUGAUCAACAUUCUGUCAUUCUUCUGAGAAAUCAAUCUUAUGAUCAUCCUUUUCAUGUAGAUUUCCUCCUAGGCACUUUUGUCUGAACCACGUGGCACAAAUUGGCAGAGAACAAGGAAAAGAAGAACAGAGGAAGGAGAAAAGGAGAAAAGUCAUUCUGCUGAAAACGAGCUGACUGAGUUGGCUUGGCUGUACAUAGGAGGAAGACCCUGAUCCCUGGUGCUCAACACAGAAAUGCUUCAAUGAUACCCUGAGAUUGUUUUACCUUGCAACACUCUCUGGAAAAUUGCUGCUCCAGGAAUGCGAUGAAAAGAUCUGUAAGAGAGCACAGCCCCUGUUGAUUGACUUGUCUUGAUCAAACCAGAGCUUCUGGCUGGGAUACUGGUAUCUUGAGUGAGUCACAGCAGGAGAUACGUGCUGGAGCUGAAGAGGUUGGAGAGGCAGCAGAAAAGACAUUUACAACCAAGUGACCCCACCUGGACUCACGACUUGUGACUCAACCGGUCCUGCGGUCUCCCACCCAGAGGCAGAGUCAGUGCACGAGGACUGUUUUCCACACCCCUAUGAUUGCAUUCCCAACCAAUCAGAAGCACUUAUUCCCUAUUCCCCUGCCCACCAAAUGAUCCUUGUAAAACCCAAACCUUCAAGUAUUCAGGGAGAAUGAUUUGGGUAAUAACUCCAGCCCUUGUGCUCAGUGGCCUUGCAUUAAUUUAAUUCUUUCCCUAUUGCUAUACCACUGCAAUAGGGAAAGUCUUGGUGAAUAGGUUUUGUGUGUGCAGUGGCAGGAAGAAC